rnacentral:rRNA from 1 species
GACGAACGCUGGCGGCGUGCUUAACACAUGCAAGUCGAACGGAAAGGCCCUGCUUUUGUGGGGUGCUCGAGUGGCGAAGGGGUGAGUAACACGUGAGUAACCUGCCCUUGACUUUGGGAUAACUUCAGGAAACUGGGGCUAAUACCGGAUAGGAGCUCCUGCUGCAUGGUGGGGGUUGGAAAGUUUCGGCGGUUGGGGAUGGACUCGCGGCUUAUCAGCUUGUUGGUGGGGUAGUGGCUUACCAAGGCUUUGACGGGUAGCCGGCCUGAGAGGGUGACCGGCCACAUUGGGACUGAGAUACGGCCCAGACGCCUACGGGAGGCAGCAGUGGGGAAUAUUGCACAAUGGGCGGAAGCCUGAUGCAGCAACGCCGCGUGCGGGAUGACGGCCUUCGGGUUGUAAACCGCUUUCGCCUGUGACGAAGCGUGAGUGACGGUAAUGGGUAAAGAAGCACCGGCUAACUACGUG